CACCACCGUGAGAUCAAGUCCUGAUCUGAGAUCAAGAGUCGGAUGCUUAACUGAGCCACCCAGGUGCCCUGCCCCACUCACCAUCUUGAUGGCAGCCUCCGGUAGAGGAUUCAGUUAAGCCAUGGCCAGACUUCUGACCCACAGAAACCAUUAGAUGAUAAAUGUCUGCACUUCAAGCUGUUAAGAAAUGCUAUACUCCUCCCGCGAGGCUGCUCCCCCUAAGAAGAGCCACCUGUUCACUGAGUCACACUCUGUGCUAAGUGUCCCCCACACGCUACUCGAGUUGCUUCCCAAGACAGUCCUAAGAGGACAGAGAUGGUUAAUACACCCACUUCAUAAAUGGGGAAAUUGUAGGUCCAACACCAAAGGUCCCACAGCUACAACCAGGAUCCCAACCCAGGACUAUGUACCUGAGAAGUCCUUGCUCCUUCUCCAAUUCCACGCAGCUUCUAUUUGUUUCUGUUUUAGUAACGUAUUUAAUAGUGAUUAAAGUAAACAUUAAGGGCUUUUUACUAAACUACUUUUCUUUGUGUAACCACUGGGGAAGGACCCUUAAAGAAAAGUCAUCAUUAAUACAUUAUAGUGAUGGGUAACCUAUUAAGUACCUAAGAUCGCUCUCACUUCCAGACUGUGCUUUGUAUUAUAAAAUAACUUUCCUGAUUAUGGAAGUGAUAUUGCCCUACUAUAAAAACAGGAAAUUUUGAAAAGUAU